rnacentral:lncRNA from 1 species
UUUGCGGAAGAUGGCCCGGCCAUGACAGCAUCAACAGCCUGGCAGCUUAGAGGGGUAUUUGAUGCCUGCCGUCAGUGUUCAUCCAUGUAGGAACCUUUUUCGAUCGUUUUCUUCUUCUAAUUUCGGUGGAUGCGGACGUCGCAGCCGCAUCGUUGAAUUCUUGUUAGCGUAGCUUUGAUCUUCCGGUACCAUUGUGAUUGGGAUGGUGAUGCACUGGACCAUUUAUACCCAGGAAUGUGACUGAGGGCAUAGCUAUCAAACCUGCAAAUGUGGUGAGUCCAGAUCAGUCUUUCUCUUCCAGUUUAUGCAUUAUGGUCUCUAGACUUAGAUGGAACACAUUGGUAACUACCUAUGCACCAUAGACCAUCACAGUAGCCAUAGCCAUACUAGCAGUAGGCUUUGGGGGAGCCUGUAGACAUCUGCCAAUCUGAGUCGAUUUACUGAAAACUUGGGACCAAUUGCCUGUAGACACCUGCACUUGGGAGCAGUCAUUUCGGAUCAUGGAUCUAGUGCCAGACAACCGUCUGCUUGAAUCCAUGUUGCAGUUAUGGUUUUUGUUUUUCAGUGGUUGUUAUCGGUGUCAAGCUGCCAGCUAUGUCGGCAUCAUCGUUGUCGUCGUCCCCAUCAUCGUCUUCUUAAAUUUUGUACUAGCUCUGGACAGCAAUGAAGAGGCAAUGUGGAUGGCUUAUCUCCCAAGAAUUGACAACCAUAUUUCCCUCACCAUCCGUAUAUAACAACUUAACGAAGUAACCACCAUGAUAAAGAUGCACUUGGAUUGCAUUCCAAACCAAACAAUUGAACUAAAACCCUGUGGUGUCAGCUCAUCCAAGCACAACACAGGCUUUUAUACUUUUGGUUUAAUAUAAAAUAAAAUAAAAACAUAGGUGUUUUUUUUGGAAAGCCAUGGGGCCAAUUAAUCACAUAGCCUUUAUGUACAAUCGCCCACUGAGUGACACCAAUAAUUGGUUGGCAGGCAUGAGCUAAAAACAAGAAUGAGUCCUUGGAACUUGUUUGAAACAUCCACAUAAAAAAUGUGUGAUGGCAAGCAAAGGAAGCCACCCCACCUAAAAACCAACCACACCAACAGAGCCUAAAGGCAGGCAUCCACACCUCUUAAUCCAACCAAAAGCACACAAGUGGAGUAGCACAUAGACAGCACAAGCACAUAAGAGAUAAAGAAAGGCAUAUCAAUGUAUCCACCGAGUCCAUGAACUCUGUCCUAGGUGCAGGUGGUGUCACUCAUGCUUGCCACUCCCUUUCCCUCCUCCUUAUCCUUCCCAAUGUGGCAACCCAUUUUCCCUCCUCCUUAUCCUUCCCAAUGUGGCAACAUGGGUUGUUCGGAUCAACGAAAAAAAUAGCGCGCUAUUUUGACGCGUCGUUGUAGCGUAUCAGCAAAGGCCACGUUGCAUUUUAGCUAAUUGGCUCACUACGGCGCUAUUUGCUCUAUAGCGCACUAUUUCGGCGCUAAACGAAAUAACGUUGUAGCGUUUUUGCGUGUACCACACAACGGCCUGUCACAUCACCACAUUGGCCCAACUCACCCCCACUAUCUCACAGAAGCAACACAUAAAGCCCAUAUAGCAACCCAUACAACCUAACCUAGCAAACUCGUCACAAGUUCCCCACCAAUUCGUGAUUGAGGGCAGCGGUGGUGGCGGCGUUCGUGACUCAUGAGCGAAGGCGACGGUGGCGGCGUUGCUCGUGAGUUGUGAGCGAAGGCAGCGGCGGUGGUUCGUGAGCGGCAGCGGCUUCUCUUGACCCCGUCCCCAAGUAGCAGUGUCGGCCUUGUUCGUGACUCGUGAACGAACGCGGCGGCGGUUCGUGAAAGGUAGCGGCUUCUCUUCAUCCCGUCUCCAAAUACCAGCAUCGGUGUCGUUUGUGACUCGUGAGCGAAGGUGACGGUGACGGUUCGUGAGCGGCGGGGGCUUCGCUUCAUCCCGUCUCCAAGUAGCGGUGGCGGCGGCGUUCGUGACUUAUGAGCGAAGGCGGUGGUUUGUGAACGGCAGUGGCUUCUCUUCAUCCCGUCUCCAAGAGGCGUCGGCGAUGUUCGUGACUCGUGUUCUCUUCAUCCCCUCUCCAAGUAGCGUCGUCGGCCACACCUCCAACUCCAGCAAGUCAGCGCCGACGUUAACCACGCCGCCGGCGUCGGCAAGUCAGCCACCAGGUGAGAGCAACCUCUCUUCAUCCUGUCUCCAAAUAGCGGUGUCGGCCUCAUUCCAUUUUCGCCCCAAGUCCCCAUCCUUGCAAAUUAGGGAAGCCUUAAAUUAUGUGAUACAUUUGACAUUUUUAUGCAAAACGCAAUUUUUCAAAUAUAGCACGCUAUAACUUUCUAGAGCGCCGCUAUGCGAACGAUACAUCAUGGACAAUUUUGGUACGCCGUCACAUACUAGCCUUCGAUGCACCAAGCCAAAUCAUCAGACUCCGCUCGAUAUAGCAUCGUAUCGGGAUCGUAAUCUAUAGUGUCUUGUGCAGUACUUUCAUAACUUCUACAACAUCUGGACAAGGGCGGCGCUAAAUCUUCUCGCAGCGCGCUAUUUUUUUUCAUUGGUUCAUACGUUUGUGCUUUGUCAUUCUCGGAGGAGGUGAUGAUACAUCUGAUCUGCUGAGGAACUCUGAGUUCUGAACCUCAGCACACACAAAAAAGGCUGCUGCUUUUCCACUGGAGAUUUUGCUGUACAGUAGAUACAUACAUACAAGUAGCACUGUUGGUAGUAGUAGAAGUAACAGUAAACAGGUGGUGAGGUGAGGUGAGUAGCUUAAGCCUAGCUGUCUUUCUUGACCCCUGAGCCCUCUUGGAGAUGGUGUCAGGGAGGGCAUGUGCCUGGUUGUUGCACUGUGUCUGUGUGUGAAGAUGCAGUAGCAGUAGAGGCAUCCAAAUCCAUCCCCACUCGGCACUUUCUGUUCAUUCCAGGCCUACUCACUCACUAGUCACUACUCAGGUGGGGGCACCAUUCAUCAGGGCAUGACAUGAAAAAAAGCUAGCUCAUUUGUGUGUGUGGUGUGCACUGGGUUAUUGUGAGUCUUGUCUUCCUUAUCUGGUUGCCCUCCUCUGCUGAUUUUCUGAGGCCCUCCCUCAUCCUCUCUCCCAAGUGCCUGCCAGGCAGAGGGAGGGAUACACCAAGGCCAAGGAGACAAAGAUUCUUGAGCAAAAAGGAGGCACCAGUAAGAUUCUUGAUCUCCCUUUCCAUUGCACACAGUACCACAGUACACCUAGGGGUGGCAUGAGCAGUUCUUUCCCCUCUAGUAGACGGGUAAAAAGGGGUCCUCCUCCCCCACAGGAAAAGGAAAAGCAGCUGACUUGAUGUGGUAUAGGUUCUCCCCCUCCUUCCCUCCCUCCCUCCCUCCGCCGUCCCGUCCCAAAGGGGUUUGAUUUGAUUUGAUCCGUGGAGGAGGGUGACGCAGAGGCAACGUGGAGCAAAUAAUGCAGUCCUGAGGUAGCAGUACCAGUACUCCAGUAGUGGUAGUUUUUCUCUGGGCUUGGGGGCGUGCUGCUGCUGCUGGUGAAAGAUCUUGAUUGGGGCGAGCGAGACCGGGGUGGUUGUCAUGAUGCGCCGUAGGGUCCAGCGCCGGGGUGGUUGCUGAUGCCGUGAUUGGGCUUGGGUUUCUUUCAAGGUGAUAUACUAGAUCUCAUCUCAUCGCCCAGGGAUGAGAUUUGAGGGGGAGGCAGACCUUGUGCCGAGGGCCUGAGGCAGCAGAGCUUCUCUCCGGUUGAUGGGGCCGCCUGCUCCGCCGACGACGUCCCCGGCACCACGGCUCGCCGGGUUCGAGGGGGAGCUCCGUGGCGCUCCGGCGCGCUGCUGAUCGGGCUUCUGGGAGGAGGAGGAGGAGGAGGAAUUCUGCUGUCUUUCCUAUUGUUUUCGGAGGAGGAAGAAGUGAAGGGGGGAUACCACAACUUGAUCUUUGGUCCCUCAUCAAGGUACUUGUGUGUUCUCCUUUUUUGUCUCUCCUGCUGCUGGGGAAAUGGAAUGAUGAAUUGAUGAUCUUCUUGCCAUAACUAACUGACGAUUCCACUUGUGUGAAGAAAGGUACUCUGCAUACCCUCUGUUGCGCAGUUGCACACGGCAUUCACUCAUUCAUUUGAUGAUAGUUGUGUACUUCCUCUCUCUUGCCCUCAGUGGUGCUCAUAUGUGUUCUAAGCUGUUCAUCAUCAUUGACUUUUCCAAGUGCAAUUUUUUUUCCUGAUUUCCAAGCUUGCUAAUUCUGCUCCUCACCCCUUGUGUUCCCUUUUGUUGCUUCAGUGGCAGCAGCUUUGCCGUGCGAGUAGGAGGAGGAGGAGCGCCGGAGAUCUUCGGCUCUGGCAUGGGCUCUUUUGGGAUGGAGUGGAACCAGAGGAGCUCGGUGCUGUGGGACUGGGAGAAUUUCCCGCCGAUAGGCGAGAACCCCAAGAAUGCGAUGCAGGCCGAUCCAAGAUUUGCCGCCGUUGCGGCUACCAUGGGGAACGAACCGCUCCAUUCUUCUGGCGGCAGCGGCAGCGGCAACUUCUCUUCCAGCUCGGAGAUGGGAUAUGGCUCUUCCAAGAGCUCCAUGUCCGCGUCGAUCGAUUCUUCGUCCAAGGCUGGGAACAACAUGGAGUUCAGAUUUGCGCCCGUCAAAAACACUGAUAGGAACAUGAGCAAGAAUACCGAGCUGGGUAAAGUUGAUAACACGAGAACUGGAACAUCUCCGUCGCCUGUGGUGGCAGUGAGCAGUGGGGAGCCGGUGAUCGGCCUGAAGCUCGGCAAGAGAACCUACUUCGAGGAUGUCUGUGGAGGGCAGAGUGUCAAGAGCUCGCCAUCGGGUGCUGUGAGCGCGCCAAACAAAUCUCCUGCUGUGGGCAAGAAGGCAAAGGCGGAACAACAGAAGCCACAUAACUCAUACUGUCAGGUUGAAGGCUGCAAAGCCGAUCUCUCUACUGUUAAAGAUUACCAUCGGAAGCACAGAGUCUGUGAACUUCACGCUAAGGCUCCCAAAGUUGUUGUCGCUGGUCUGGAGCGACGCUUUUGCCAACAGUGCAGCCGGUGAGAUGCUUUAUAUUGCAAACAGUGGCAUCCUUGAGCACAAAAAAAAGAACCCGUUGUUCUGAUCUGUUUCUUUCUCUUUUGUUUUCCACUUGAUUCUAGGUUUCAUGCUUUAGCCGAGUUUGACCAGAAAAAGCGAAGCUGCCGUAGGCGUCUCAAUGAUCAUAAUUCCCGCAGGCGCAAGCCACAGCCAGAAGCAAUUUCUUUCAGUUCAUCAAGGAUGUCUACAAUGUUUUAUGGUAGGGUACUAGGCUUGUAUUUGCCUUAUGUCUUGUGAAAUUCAUGCGUUAAGUAAGUAACAUGCUUACAUAUGUCCUUCUAAAACAGCCACGUAUGGUCACACCAACUCAGCGGCACAAAAAAUUACUAGGGUAGAGCAUUUUUUUGUGUUUGAAAUGGUCAAUUUCUUUGUUGAUUCAAAUUUCCUCCCUAGUCAUAAUGUCAAAAAUUAGUCACAAUUUUCGUAACUGUGAUAUCAGAAAGGCUCUUUGUGAUCCUGGUGACUGCCAUUUGUGAGGGUUUCUGUUGAUAGGAACAAUUUAUGAUGAUUCCUGUUGAUGGGAAUUAAUGGAUAACAAUUGUACUUGUCCUUAUUUUAAGGAGUUGUGCCCAAUGUACUAUUCAUUUCACUCUAGAUUCCUCAAAAUAUUUUUGUACUUUUAUCUGUUAAUAAUUAUGUUAUCGCGUCAAUGGUAUAGUGAUUCAGAAAAGAAAAAACAAACACAUAAUUGUACAAACAAAUUGAGGAUUUGGAGUUAUGGAAGCAGUUACAUUUCUGACUUAUGAACAUUUUGUGCUAAAACUCUUGUAAUGACUUGAACAGAUGCAAGGCAACAGCCAAAUUUCCUAUUCGGUCAGGCUCCUUAUGUUCAAAUGAGAAGCUGUGGAAGUUCUUCAUGGGAUGACCCAGGAGGCUUCAAAGUUACACACACAAAAGCUCCUUGGUUAAAGCCAACAACUGCUGCAGGUGUUCAUGGGAUGCAUUUAUCUAGUCAGCAGAUGUCGGACAAUAUUAUGCCGCAUGGUGCACAUCAUGGUUUCGAUGGGUUCAUGUCAUUCAAGGGAACUUGUACAAAGUUCCCUAAUCAAGGUAUUUCCCUGCUUAUGAAUGAAUUUCCAAACGAAACGGUGAAAAAGUGACCAUAUAAAGGUCGUCACUUACAUGUAAACUCUUGUUCCUACAAUUCCUAACUAAAACAAGAAUAGAUAAAUGCACCUCUUCGUGUUUUUUCCACGGACCACUUCAUAGAAUUAGUAUGUUUCUUCUAAUAUGUACUCCUGUUUGUUGGCUGUUCUUUCGAGUUAACAUAAAUGACAUGAAGCUUUUGCACUUUCUGAACAUAUAGCUGUAUCAUUUCAACAUUUCAUUAGGUAAGUUCUGUUUGCAACAUGUGACUAUACACGUGGUCCUUAUUUUUGUGAUCCGAGGACCUGAUUGCCAGGUCACAUUCUUCUCCAUGUUUUAUCUUUUCAAGGAGCUCUAGUCACCUACCCUUAUUUUAGCAAUCUCUGGUUAAUCACGCUCUUUUCACUGAAUUUGCUUCCUCAUAGAUGAUUGUACUUCCUGACCUGCAGUUAUCCACAAUCUUUGAUCUGAAACAGAUCCACCUUAAGAAGAGCUGUCAGCCUGUCCUGUCCUCUUAGUACUGAUUUGAUUCUGACAUUUACCAGAAACUAUGAUUAGUCGUACCAUUUGAGACUAUAGCUUUGGGUCCGGAAGAGACUGUGGAUUACCUUAUUUGUCAUAAUCUGGCAUGAUUGAGUUGCUCAGACGAAUUUUUAAUAGUGCUUUGUUUUUCUUUUCUAUACCGGAAAGUUGUUGAUAAUGAGGCACAUGCAGGCAAGCCUUGGGGUUAGAAUAAAUAAAUAAAAACAAUAGUCUGUUAUAGAAUCAUGAAAAAUUUGGUUUCAUCUUUACUAGUAAAGUAAUGAUAACUUCAGAACUGAUUGAGAUUUUCCAUUGCACAGUAACUCUGCAUCUGCGGCGAUUAUAUUCUUAAGUAUGUUUAGGCACUCCAAAGAAUCUUUUCCUUGGUGAUGAACAUUAACACCAAAACUUGUUCUACUUGUUUACCCUUCCAGGUGUCCAAGCUUCUGCUGUUGCUUCCGACUCCAGUGGAGCCCCGGAUCUUCAGCAUGCUCUCUCUCUUCUGUCAAGCAACCCAGUGGGUGCUGCCAACCUCCAGCCAAGUCCCCAGAUGCACUCUGGGGUGGCAGCCAUUGCCGGCGCCCCCAACCCCGCGAUGCACGCGCUGGGAUCAUCGGUGGGGCUCUGGCUAGACGGCGGCCAGCCCCUCGAUGAUCACCCGCGGUUCCAGGUCUUCGAGCGCUGGGGGGACCAUGACAGCGAGCUCCAGCUCCCAAAGCCUUCCUACGACCAUGCCUCGCACUUCGACCGGAUGCACUGAUGAUGGCUCCGGUCCACUGGGUGCGUGAUUUUGUCACGCGAUCAACGCCCGUUUCUUCGGCCUGAAACUCGGAAUGCUGAAUUUACUUUGCUUUGACGCCGUUGCCUGCCUCGAGGCCUAUGGUUUUGGCAAUGCCUAGAAUAAAGGCGCACACGAAACAGACUUAGGAUCAAAGUGACCCAGUCGUGUUGCCAUGGAAAAAGAUCUUGAUCCAUCAUUUAGCCAUUUGUCUGAAUAAUUCUGAACUUGCUAUGUUUCUGAAUUGCUUCUGCAACUGUAACUGAUCAUGGUUUUAAAUUUUUGAUGAUGACAUCGCACGGCCGUAACGGUGACCCAUGGCACAGUGCCAGCCAUUGCAAAAGGACCGGCAAUGGCUGGACAUAGAUCUAAUGACCACGGCAUAACAUGGCCAGGCAGUGUGCAUCGACCCCGUAGCGCCGGGCACUGUUCAUGCACUGUCGUGCGGGUACAGUUCCUGUCGAUCCGUCUGUUUAAAUCGGACGAGGGGGGGGGGGCAUGCCACCGUUACUGUCCCUAAAGCCUAAGGCGGUAGUUCUAAAAACAUGAGCACAGCAGACUGGCAGGUAUGGCCAUUCAAGAUUGCAGGCAUGAAGUGAAAAAUGAACUGCAUUUCCGAAAGAAAAAAAAGUGCACAUAAUUAAGCAUCUUGGUAUCAUCUUUUCAGACUUCUUAUUCCGUAAUUAUACACCAAUCAUUUAUUUGGACUCUGAUAGUGUACAAUAAUACUACAAGUACAGUUCUUCCUCUGUCUACCAUUUCAGUGCCUUGAGAAGGUAUGUACGUACCAGUACGUAUAGAUUUCAUUUGCAGAUAGUGUGACCUGCACUGCUGCGCUUCUGACUCGGAUCAGCAGCUAGGCAUUGUCAGGACACGGCAGCGGUACUCUCCAAGCGCCCAGAUAGGGAAGAUGUUCCUGUACUGGGAGUAACUGAUGGUGCAGUUCCUGGCGAAGAUGCCGAUGAUCUCCUGUGGCACAAAACAGAAAAUACCAUUUCAACGGUCAUGAACAAACGCAGACAGAACAGCGACCGAAUGCCGGAUUGCCAGUUAGUUAGUGUCUGGAAUCUAAGCACUUUUGACAGUGGUUUUCAUGAGAGUGUCCUUACAAGAGAAAAGUUUCACUGCUCGGUUCGCGGCAUACUUACUUGCUGAAGGAACUCGCCAUCCUCUAGUUGUAGGUUAAUCAAAACCCUUGCUGCCCGGUGCAGAGGCCCUGGAUCUCUCUCGGCCUGCUCCAACGGAAAUUGAAAUGCAGAUAUCAUCAUAUGAAUGAGCCUGGUGAAUGCCUCAAUGAACAAUGCCAAAUCGAGGAGAAAAAGAAAAUACAAAAACCUGCCCAGCAUCAAAGGGCCAGCAUGGCCCAACUGGUAUUGACUACAUGGGGGCGCCUUCCUUCAAGUUCGGUGUAAACCUAUUUGCAGAAAUUAAAAAAAAUGUCCAGAUCAGAUUAGUUCUCUUUUGCAGAAAAAAAUAUCAAAACAAUACAUGUUGGUUCGCUACUGGUUUGAUUGAUCUAUGGAAGCAUAACUUUUUUUUUGCUGCGCUGUAUGUAAUAUAUGUGCCAUGUUAAAAUGGAGGAAUUGAAGACAAGCUCUUUGGACG